UUAGCUUACGAGAAGGUCGAUGAUUGUUCCCCAAGCAAUAACACGAAAUCGUCCAAGGCAAGAAUCAGAAAGUAAAGCACCAAAAAGUGGCAUAAAAUUGGAUCCAGCAUUCCACAAGAAUAUUAUGAUAGCCGCAGUUGAAGGCUCUGCAUGAUACUCGUUUAGCAGGUACAAAACCAUGUUCACAUGAAGUCCUACAUUUGCAACCUUCUCAAAAGUCUCAUUUGCUAAAAUAUAUCAAUAAAAAACAAGUUAGAAAAUCAUAACCUUUUUGUUAGAACAAUAAAAAAAUAUGUAUACCAAAGUAAAAUCCAUGAUUAUUAAUACAGUUAAUAUGUUAUUAAUAUAUGAAAUAAGUAGUAAAAAUGUCCUAUAUAGAAAUGAAGGGGUCAUCACCUAUGAUAAAGGGCAUUGUUCUAUAACCACCCUUUUUCCUUUCAACAUGUUCAGUGUCUUUGUUUUGCUCCAUUGACAUCUCCAUUUUCCUUCUACUACACAAGUCUAUGUUAUAAACAAAAUAUAAUUGAGUUGCUAGUUAUUCAAUACAAUAGAAUAGAUAUGUUUAAAGCACUAUAUAUACGUAUAUGGACAAGAAUUAUCUCACCUUGUUACAAGUAGACCUCGUUCUUAUCUAAAAAUUAUUUGUCACAUGUAUAUCAUCAAGAUUCUUCCAUUAUUGUAUUGUACGGCUGGGUAAUAAUGUUGGAAAAAUGAGCAAUAAUUUUUUUCUUAAUAAUAGAGAAAAAAACAAAUUAUUUGUCCAUUUAUUGUCAUAGUGUGUGUUCAGAGAAGAGAUCAAUAU
rnacentral:lncRNA from 1 species